rnacentral:rRNA from 1 species
UACGUAGGGGGCAAGCGUUAUCCGGAUUUACUGGGUGUAAAGGGAGCGUAGACGGCUGAUCAAGUCUGAAGUGAAAGCCCGGGGCUCAACCCCGGGACUGCUUUGGAAACUGGUCAGCUAGAGUGCAGGAGAGGUAAGUGGAAUUCCUAGUGUAGCGGUGAAAUGCGUAGAUAUUAGGAGGAACACCAGUGGCGAAGGCGGCUUACUGGACUGUAACUGACGUUGAGGCUCGAAAGCGUGGGGAGCAAACAGG